rnacentral:rRNA from 1 species
GACGAACGCUGGCGGCGUGCCUAAUACAUGCAAGUAGAACGCUGAAGCUUGGUGCUUGCACCGAGCGGAUGAGUUGCGAACGGGUGAGUAACGCGUAGGUAACCUGCCUGGUAGCGGGGGAUAACUAUUGGAAACGAUAGCUAAUACCGCAUAAGAGUAGAUGUUGCAUGACAUUUGCUUAAAAGGUGCAAUUGCAUCACUACCAGAUGGACCUGCGUUGUAUUAGCUAGUUGGUGAGGUAACGGCUCACCAAGGCAACGAUACAUAGCCGACCUGAGAGGGUGAUCGGCCACACUGGGACUGAGACACGGCCCAGACUCCUACGGGAGGCAGCAGUAGGGAAUCUUCAGCAAUGGACGGAAGUCUGACCGAGCAACGCCGCGUGAGUGAAGAAGGUUUUCGGAUCGUAAAGCUCUGUUGUAAGAGAAGAACGAGUGUGAGAGUGGAAAGUUCACACUGUGACGGUAUCUUACCAGAAAGGGACGGCUAACUACGUG